rnacentral:rRNA from 1 species
CCUACGGGAGGCAGCAGCGGGGAAUCUUGCGCAAUGGGCGAAAGCCUGACGCAGCGACGCCGCGUUGGGGAAGAAGUCUUUCGGGAUGUAAACCCAUGUUGACAGGGAGAAGAAGGAGAUAGUACCUGUUGAGGAAGCCACGGCUAACUACGUGCCAGCAGCCGCGGUAAUACGUAGGUGGCGAGCGUUGUCCGGAAUUACUGGGUGUAAAGGGUGCGUAGGCGGCUAUUUAAGUUAGUUGUGAAACCCUCAGGCGCAACUGGAGGCAUGCAACUAAAACUGUGUAGCUUGAGGGCAGGAGAGGAUGACGAAAUUCCCGGAGUAGCGGUAAAAUGCGUAGAUAUCGGGAGGAACACCAGUGGCGAAGGCGGUCAUCGGAACUGUAACUGACGCUGAGGCACGAAAGCGUGGGGAGCAAACAGGAUUAGAUCCCCCUGUAGU